GACGAACGCUGGCGGCGUGCUUAACACAUGCAAGUCGAACGGAAAGGCCCUGCUUUUGUGGGGUGCUCGAGUGGCGAACGGGUGAGUAACACGUGAGUAACCUGCCCUUGACUUUGGGAUAACUUCAGGAAACUGGGGCUAAUACCGGAUAGGAGCUCCUGCUGCAUGGUGGGGGUUGGAAAGUUUCGGCGGUUGGGGAUGGACUCGCGGCUUAUCAGCUUGUUGGUGGGGUAGUGGCUUACCAAGGCUUUGACGGGUAGCCGGCCUGAGAGGGUGACCGGCCACAUUGGGACUGAGAGACGGCACAGACGCCUACGGGAGGCGGCAGUGGGGAAUAGUGCACAAUGGGAAGAAGCCUGAUGCAGCAACGCCGCGUGCGGGAUGACGGCCUUCGGGUUGUAAACCGAUUUCGCCUGUGACGAAGCGUGAGUGACGGUAAUGGGUAAAGAAGCACCGGCUAACUACGUG
rnacentral:rRNA from 1 species